rnacentral:lncRNA from 1 species
UCCCAUUCCAAAUCCACCCACUUCAGCAUCAGUGGCUUUAUUUCUCAUGUAUAUCCUUCCUUCUGCCUUCCCCUCUUUGCUCUCGUUAUCAAUCCCAGAUUUAGGUUGAUAAAAUGUAUUUUCUUCCAGGUAAAAUGUUGUGUCUCUUAAAACCUCUGAAGGUUGUUUUUGUUUGUUUAUUUGUUUGUUGUUGUUUUUAAUCAAGGCUCUUGCAACUGCUGGCCCUUGCUGGAGAAAAUUCUAGUUUAAGAACUGCUCAUAGCAUAGAGGAAUGCCAAUCAAAUGGAAUAUACAGAAAAAGGAUGGCUGACAAAUGUCCUACCAAAGAGGUGAACUCAAGUUAUAAUUGGCCACUUGCAAAGAGAAAAAGAAGAGAAUGAAGCUCUGGGAAGGACAAGAUGUUUGUGUAUCCACGACGUUAGGACUCUCCUCUAUUUGCUGCUGACUUCCGUCUGAGGCAUUUGAGCGUGGACUAUCUCUUGAAGAGGAAAUCAUUUUUCACAGGCAAGUCAGAAUGACAGACCUUGCAAAUAAAGAUGUUGUGUUGAUACA